UGAGGUGGGGGACAACAGUUGGAAACCACUGCUAAUACCGCAUAACGUCUACGGACCAAAGGGGGCUUCGGCUCUCGCCUUUAGAUUGGCCCAAGUGGGAUUAGCUAGUUGGUGAGGUAAUGGCUCACCCAGGCCACGAUCCCUAGCUGGUUUGAGAGGAAGAUCAACCACACUGGCACUGACACACGGCCCACACUCCUACGGGAGGCAGCAGUGGGGAAUAUUGCACAAUGGGCGCAAGCCUGAUGCAGCCAUGCCGCGUGUGUGAAGAAGGCCUUCGGGUUGUAAAGCACUUUCAGUCAGGAGGAAAGGUUAGUAGUUAAUACCUGCUAGGUGUGACGUUACUGACAGAAGAAGCACCGGCUAACUCCGUGCCAGCAGCCGCGGUAAUACGGAGGGUGCGAGCGUUAAUCGGAAUUACUGGGCGUAAAGCGUACGCAGGCGGUUUGUUAAGCGAGAUGUGAAAGCCCCGGGCUCAACCUGGGAACUGCAUUUCAAACUGGCAAACUAGAGUGUGAUAGAGGGUGGUAGAAUUUCAGGUGUAGCGGUGAAAUGCGUAGAGAUCUGA
rnacentral:rRNA from 1 species